UUUUUCUCUCACUCUCAAACUUCUUUCUUUUCUUCUUUCUCUUUUCUCCACUCUCUUCUCUUUUCUAAAACAAAAAUAUCUCUCCUCUCUCACCGUAACACAAACAACCACCUUACUCUCUUUUCUUCAUUUUUUUUCACUCUUCAUCAUACACCAUAAACAUCAUCAACUUCUCUCUUCAAUCUAAAAACCUCAUACACCAUAAACAUAAUCAACUUCUCUCUUCAAUCUAAAAAAACUUCAUACGCCGUAAACAUCAUCAACUUCUCUCUUCAAUCUAAAAAAAACCUUCAUACAAC
rnacentral:lncRNA from 1 species